CCUACGGGAGGCAGCAGUGAGGAAUAUUGGUCAAUGGACGAGAGCCUGAACCAGCCAAGUAGCGUGAAGGAUGACUGCCCUACGGGUUGUAAACUUCUUUUAUAUGGGAAUAAAACGUUCCACGUGUGGGAUUUUGUAUGUACCAUAUGAAUAAGGAUCGGCUAAAUCCGUGCCAGCAGCCGCGGUAAUACGGAGGAUCCGAGCGUUAUCCGGAUUUAUUGGGGUUAAAGGGAGCGUAGGUGGAUUGUUAAGUCAGUUGUGAAAGUUUGCGGCUCAACCGUAAAAUUGCAGUUGACACUGGCAGUCUUGAGUACAGUAGAGGUAGGCGGAAUUCGUGGUGUAGCGGUGAAAUGCUUAGAUAUCACGAAGAACCCCGAUUGCGAAGGCAGUUCACUGGACUGCAACUGACACUGAGGCUCGAAAGUGUGGGUAUCAAACAGGAUUAGAUACCCGUGUAGUC
rnacentral:rRNA from 1 species